rnacentral:rRNA from 1 species
GCAGUCGUACGAGCUCUGCGAUAUUGAUUGGUGCUUGCAUCAUGAUUUACAUUUGAGUGAGUGGCGAACUGGUGAGUAACACGUGGGAAACCUGCCCAGAAGCGGGGGAUAACACCUGGAAACAGAUGCUAAUACCGCAUAACAACUUGGACCGCAUGGUCCGAGUUUGAAAGAUGGCUUCGGCUAUCACUUUUGGAUGGUCCCGCGGCGUAUUAGCUAGAUGGUGGGGUAACGGCUCACCAUGGCAAUGAUACGUAGCCGACCUGAGAGGGUAAUCGGCCACAUUGGGACUGAGACACGGCCCAAACUCCUACGGGAGGCAGCAGUAGGGAAUCUUCCACAAUGGACGAAAGUCUGAUGGAGCAACGCCGCGUGAGUGAAGAAGGGUUUCGGCUCGUAAAACUCUGUUGUUAAAGAAGAACAUAUCUGAGAGUAACUGUUCAGGUAUUGACGGUAUUUAACCAGAAAGCCACGGCUAACUACGUGCCAGCAGCCGCGGUAAUACGUAGGUGGCAAGCGUUGUCCGGAUUUAUUGGGCGUAAAGCGAGCGCAGGCGGUUUUUUAAGUCUGAUGUGAAAGCCUUCGGCUCAACCGAAGAAGUGCAUCGGAAACUGGGAAACUUGAGUGCAGAAGAGGACAGUGGAACUCCAUGUGUAGCGGUGAAAUGCGUAGAUAUAUGGAAGAACACCAGUGGCGAAGGCGGCUGUCUGGUCUGUAACUGACGCUGAGGCUCGAAAGUAUGGGUAGCAAACAGGAUUAGAUACCCUGGUAGUCCAUACCGUAAACGAUGAAAUGCUAAG